rnacentral:lncRNA from 10 species
GUGAGGUGGUGUCUCAUGGUUUUGAUUUGCAUUUCUCUGAUGAUUAGUGAUGUUGAACAUUUUUUCAUUUGUUUGUUGGACAUUUGUCUUCUUUUGAGAAAUACCAAUUCAGCUCUUUUGCUAAUUUUUAAAUCAAACUAUUUGGGGUUUUCUGCUAUUGAGUUGUUUGAGUUCCUUACGUAUUCUAGAUUUUAACCCCUUGUUAGACACAGCUUGCAAAUACUAUCUCCUAUUCUGUGUAGGUUGUCUCUUGACUCUAUUGAUUGUUUCCUUUGCUGUGCAGAAGCUUUUUAGAUUGAUGUAAUCUCAUUUGUCUGUUUUUGCUUUUGUUGCCUGUGCUUUUGAGGUCUUACUAAAAAAAAUCCCCUCCAAAUUUCAUGAAGUACUUCCCUUGUAUUGUCUUUUAAUAGUUUCAUAGUUUCAGUUCUUACAUUUAAUUCAUUAAUCCUUUCAGAGUUGAUUUUUGUAUAUGGUGAGUGAUGGGGGCUCUAGUUUUAUUUUUCUGCCUGUGGAUGUCAUUUUUCCAGCACCAUUUAUUGACCAGACUGUCCUUUUUCCCAAUGUGUGUUCUUGGUGCCUUAGUCAAAAAUCAGUUGGCUGUAAAUGCAUGGACUUAUUUCUGGGUUUGCUAUCCUCUUCCAUUGGUCUAUGUGGGUUUUUAGACCACAGCCAUGCUGUUUUAGUUACUACAGUAGUAUAUUUUGAAGACAGGUAGUGUGAUACUUCCAGUUCUUUGUUCUUUUUACUCAAGGUUACAUUGGCUAUUUGGGAUCUUUUCUUAUUUCCAUAUGAAUUUUAAGAUUUUUUUUUUCUAUUUCUGUGAAGAAUGUCUUGGUAUUUUGAUAGUGC